rnacentral:rRNA from 1 species
AUGAUUGCUAAUGGUAAGCAUCGAAAGAAGAGGAUCUUUCAGCUUGAGCAAGAUGAGGGUACAAUUGUAGGACAGGAGAACCUAAAAUUGUACAUUACUGAGUUCUAUAAGCAGUUGUUUGGCCCUCCAGAAAAUAACUGUGUGUCUCUGGAUGAGUCCAGGGUUGAGGAUGUUCCUCAACUCACAGUUGUGGAGAAUGAUGUUCUGACGGCUCCUUUUACCGAGAAAGAGGUAUUUGAGGUCGUUUCACAAAUGGAAAAUAACAAAGCGCUGGGCCCAGAUGGAUUUCCAGCGGAGUUUUAUAAGAAAUGUUGGUUUAUCAUUAAAGGAGAUUUGUUGCCUUUGUUCAAUGAUCUGUUUGCUGGGCAGCUUCAUCUUUUUCAGCUAAAUUUUGGAACGAUCACCCUUCUUCCUAAGAAAACAGAGGCUGUGAGAAUUGAGCAAUUCAGGCCAAUCUGUCUUCUUAAUGUUAGUUUCAAAAUUUUCACCAAGGUCGGGACCAAUAGGCUCUCACAAAUCGCGCAUGUUGUUGUGCAGCCUACCCAAACUGCCUUCAUGCCGGACAGGAACAUCCUUGAGGGUGUUGUGGUCCUACAUGAAACGCUCCAUGAAAUCCACACGAAAAAGCUGGAUGGGGUUGUUUUCAAAGUGGAUUUCGAAAAAGCGUAUGACAAAGUCAAAUGGCCUUUCCUUCAACAAGCUUUAUGCAUGAAGGGUUUUGAUGAGGCCUGGCGACGCCAGGUAGAAUCCUUUACGCAAAAAGGUAGUGUUGGAAUUAAAGUAAAUGAUGAUAUAGGUCAUUAUUUCCAGACACACAAAGGCAUGAGGCAAGGAGAUCCAAUGUCCCCUAUAUUGUUCAACAUUGUAGUCGAUAUGUUGGCCAUUCUCAUAGGCAGGGCAAAGAACGCCGGUCAGGUAGGUGGCUUGGUGCCUAACCUAGUUGAUGGGGGUGUGUCCAUUUUGCAGUACGCUGAUGAUACAAUCAUCUUCAUGGAGCAUGACUUGGCAAAAGCGAGAAACAUGAAGAUGGUGUUGUGUUUAUUUGAACAAUUGUCCGGUUUAAAGAUUAACUUUCAUAAAAGCGAGUUGUUCUGCUUUGGUAGAGCCAAGGAGGAACAAGAGGCUUAUAGGCAAUUGUUUGGUUGUGAAUUAGGGGCUUUACCUUUUACUUACCUAGGUAUACCCAUUCAUCAUCGUAAGCUCACGAACAGAGAGUGGAAAUGUAUCGAAGAUCGGUUCGAAAAGAAACUUAGUUGCUGGAAGGGCAAACUUCCGUCUUAUGGAGGCCGGUUAAUUCUUAUUAAUUCGGUGCUCACAAGUUUGCCGAUGUUCCUCCUAUCUUUCUUUGAGGUUCCAGUUGGGGUUAGGAAAAGGCUGGACUUCUAUCGGUCAAGAUUUUUUUGGCAAAGUGAUGAUCUUAAGAGAAAGUAUAGACUCGCCAAGUGGGAUAUUAUUUGUCAUCCUAAGGAUCAGGGGGGUUGGGUAUCGAGAAUCUUGAGGUCAAGAACAGAUGCCUGCUUAGUAAGUGGCUAUAUAAGUUAUCAGUUGGGACUGAUGCGACUUGGGCACAGAUUCUUCGUAACAAGUAUCUGUAAUCCAAAACUUUGUCACAGGUGA